rnacentral:rRNA from 1 species
AUGCACUGUUUGACUUUGUGUUUCCAUUUGUUCAAACUUGAAAAGGAGGUUGCAUGCGGCACGAGGACGCUAGCUUGGGCAUACUCUCUUGCUCGCAUGCGGCACGAGGACGCUUAUAAAACUAGGACGCCAAUAACUGGCGAACGUCCUUCUGAUCCGAGUACGAAUGAUAUAUCCUCUGGAAAUGAUCGAUUAAGGGAGCAAAAUCGUUCCCUAGGGAAUUUAGGCCAAAUCAAGCUUAAUUUUUGCCACAACUUACAAACUGAGAUGGACCUCAUGCUAAUACAACAAACAGCACAAAAAGUGUCAUGA